UACUGCAUUUUUAAUUGAGUUGUCAAGAUCGUUCCACAUCCUCAAUGCGGAUGGAAGUAUAGACUGUGCAUAAAUUUGAGUUCUUCUAGGUAAUGUUUGAAAGUUAUCAGAGUUUCGUAAAUAGUACGUGUUGUUACUAAAAGCUUGCACACUUGGAGGAAAUAAUUGUUCGAGAUAAGGUGGUAACAUGUUGUGUUUGUAUUUAUAUACUAAUGUCAGCUUUUGAAUUGUUCUUCUAUCCGUAAGGGACACCCAGCCAAUUUCUUUUAGUAGAUUGAUUAUUGAUGCGGAUCGUGUAAGACCGGUAACUACGCGAGCAGCCUCAUAUUGAAUUUUGUCUAGUGUAUCUUUUUCGAAUUGGGCAAAUUAUCCCAUAGAAGUGAUCCGUAUUCUAGAUGCGGACGGAGAUAUGAUAGGUAUAUGUGGUUAAGUGUUUUUCUGUGUAGUUUGAAUUUCAUCAUUUUCAUUGUUCCAAGAAUUUUUGAUGCUGUUGCGAUGAUAUUAGUGAUAUGUUGGUGCCAAGACCCAUCGUUACUGAGUGUUAAGCCGAGAUGCUUGUGGUGAUCAACAAACUGAACGAUGGUGUUAUCGAAAAGAAGUUUUGGACUAACUAACUAGUAAACACUAGACCUUCUAUAGUGACACUGACCUUGGCCGGCAAGGUUUAAUUAAGCAAACAUUCUGAAACCUUGAUGCGGUGACACAAGGUUCAUUGAAAUAUUCAAUGACUGUAGAAGGUAUUAGGAACAGAACAGAACAUGCCACAACAGAGCAGAACAUUGUUUAAAGACUUGUACCAGCUACGUCGUCUUUGUAACAACAUAUACAAACACAAACAUGGUCAAUAAACAGUGGCGCCGACCAAAGAUGAUACAUCAGAUGUUAAGAGUAAAGCGACAUCCAUCCUGUGUGAUAUAUGUGGACCAUAUAGCUCUGAAAGGUCUCGGCCGUUUAAAUCAUGGAAAGUCUUGGCCGGUCGAGGACAAAGGAUCUACGACUAGAAAAUGCACCAUUGUAUGCGGUACUACAUACACGUAGAAACCACCGUCUUAUACGGCGUACUUACCACCAACACUUCUCACAUUCCAAAUGUGGAAAAUGACAUUGUAUGUCUAGCAUUUCGAAAAAAAAAUAUUUUGUCAUAGUUACAUAAUAAGCACGUGCUCAUGAUCUGAUCCGAGCUUAUUCGUUCACCAAAUUCGUUGUGUUGGCUUCGUUAUGGCUUAUGUUAAAUAGCCAUAGGUUAUUUUGUCAUAAGUAUGUCUACUUUAUAAGCCUUUAACAGCAUUCUUGAUGAAAAAAUGAAAUGCAUUUCGAUACCAAAGUAAAAUAAGGUAAUGAGGGGGUUUGACGGUAGUGAGGCCGGGCUUUAAACGCCUGUUUCUUGAGAAAUACGAAGGCCAGAAACGUUUUUUUGAUUUACUUUCUCUACAAGGCUUUAGCUUUAAUAAAACGAUAAGAAGUAAAUGCUAUUAAUGCAGGCUUUCUCAUGACCCGCCCUAAUCUUGUACUUGUCACGCCAACUAAACAUUCGGAUAUUCAAUUUUGCACGUACAGUGUAUGUAUUGCAUAGAACAUUAAGUUUACAUUACGUGCAUAAAACUCAUAUGAUAUGGAUAACGUUAGCACGAUCUACAUGUUAAUUUCCAUCUAAACUAAAUAGUAAACGUCGUUUGAAUAUGUUCCCGGUAUCAAGCCUUUGGUCAUUGUGUUCCACUGAUAAUUUUUCAUUGGUCGUUCGAUUUUUCGUCAGGAGUCAGAGACGGGGUAAAGUU